rnacentral:snRNA from 1 species
CUCCUUGUUCAGUGGCAGUAUAAUAGCCAAUGAGGUCCAACCGAGGCAUGAUUAUUGCUAAUUGC